rnacentral:rRNA from 1 species
UACGGGGGAGCAAGCGUUGUUCGGAUUUACUGGGCGUAAAGGGCGCGUAGGCGGUCUGCUAAGUUGGAUGUGAAAACUCUGGGCUUAACCCAGAGCCUGCAUUCAAUACUGACAGGCUAGAGUUCUGGAGGGGAUAGCGGAAUUCCUGGUGUAGCGGUGAAAUGCGUAGAUAUCAGGAGGAACACCGGUGGCGAAGGCGGCUAUCUGGACAGAGUCUGACGCUGAGGCGCGAAAGCUAGGGGAGCAAACAGG